UAAAGGGUACAAUAGAUAGGCUUGAAGAGGCAACUCCACAGCUCUCUUCUCCUCCUCUAGUCUCUUUUCUCCCUUCCAUCUUGUGAUAGUUUUAGUACUACAAGUAGCACAGUAUCUCAAAACUGGACCCAUUAGCAACUUUUUUUCCCAAGCCUCCAAGCAGCAUGGUCGGCCCUUCAAUGCUUAACACAUACAAAUAUAACGUAACCCUUAAAUCCUCUCCAACCACCAUCAAAUUUCUUUGCAGCUAUGGCGGCAAGAUCCUCCCCCGUUAUCCUGAUGGCAAGCUCCGUUAUCAUGGUGGUGAAACCCGUGUCCUUGCUGUUGAACGUUCCAUUUCCUUUUCUGAGCUAGUGAUGAAGCUGGGGGAGAUGUGUGGAGCAUCAGUUAGUCUAAGAUGUCAAUUGCCAACAGAAGAUAUGGAUGCACUUGUUUCGAUCACCUCGGAUGAGGAUCUUGCCAAUCUCAUCGAGGAAUAUGAUCUAGCUGCGGUCUCAGCCUCACCAACCACUAAUAAUGCCCUCAAGAUCAGAGCUUUCCUUUCAACCCCUUAUAAACCUACCACCAAGAAAUCGUCUCCCUCCCAUUCCAUUGCCUCCUUUUCUACUAGUAGCAAUGAGGCUACUUCUCCAGUUUAUUCCCCAGCACCUGCUGCUUCCCCUAGCCUGAUCAGCUUUAGGCGUCCAAUUAAAUCAGCUGCAACUGAUAGGUGCGUCCAUCAGAUCAUGUCCAGGCCAGCCGUUGCAUACCCCCAUCCCCUGAUGACUUAUGAGAAAGCUGCUGCAAAGGGGCUUCCUCAUCAUCAGUAUGUCUACUGUGGCCCUGGAAAAGCUAGCAGCCAUGUAUAUCUCAUUCAACAUGGCAACCACUGGCAAUAGCAGGGUCCUAUAAAUAUCCGAUCGAUCCACCUGGACUAUAUCUUCCCCUGCCAGCGGAAGAUAAACACCAGGAAAGAUGAACCUGAUAAUAUAGGUUGAUAUAUUGCUAUAUUCAAGAAAGAAGUGGGCAAAAAAGCUUGGCCAAGCAGACGCAGAUAUAUUUAAUGUGCGGCAAGAUAUGAACACUGAUGUCCAGUGGAUCAAAUUCCAAUGUCCUCAAGGUCAAUCUGCAAGAAAGUGUGCUCCAUCUUUAGCAGCGAAGAUCCAUAACUCGGUUUCUUCACCUUAAUUGUUUUUCAGCGUCAAAUAUCUAUUGAAAUUUCAAAAUAUUCCGACUUUGUGGUUUCAAAAGGUGUCAAAAGUGAUUUUCAAUGUUUUAGUGCACUGCACAAAAAACGAUCCCGCAUUUUGUAAAAAUCUCCCGCAUUACCUGAUAUACAGUCACGAUUAGCUAAAGCUAGAAAACAAUCCAACAUGACUUUUGAUUCUGCAAAAUUUUAUUUGGCCGAAUUUGUUUAGCUCAUAAAGUGCAGACCUGUUCAUAUUGCCUAAUGAAGUUUGGCUGAUCCCAAAAGUUUUGCACGUAACAAGUUUGUGUGUUUUGAGAAGAAUUCCCAUUGGAUGAAAGAGUGCCAACUUGGACGUGACUCAGAGUGUACUUACUUAAUGGGGGAAGGAAGUGAUAUGGAGUUAAAUUGACUUGGGGUAUCCAUUUCAUUUUCUAGACCAGGUCAGGUGGAGCCUGGAGGACUUGGAAGAAGCCGAUUGCAUAUUGUCUCUACAAACUACUAGAAAAACGGACCAACUGAAAAAAAGAUAAUAACAAAAUAGUUAUAAUAAAUGAAGAAGAGGCUGAAUGUGGAAUUCAUUGGACGGGGCCAACACUGGAAAACAGAGUGGAAUAAUUCUGCUCGGGCAAGGAACUCUUCUUUCGAAUGAAAGGGAGUAACAAUUAACGUCAAGACAGAGGAGACAUUUGCCUGAGAAAAAAAUGAAAAUGAAGGCGACAUAUGAAUUGAUGGCUGAUGGCCAAGUGACAGCUGGAGCAAGAAAUGGACCAAUUAUUGUUGAGACUACAUUGAAAAAAUUAUUUUAACAAAAUCGAAAUCGAAGGGAAAAAGAUAGAAAGGAAAGGGACCCUUUUCUUUUUUUAUAUUUCUUCCUAUCAAAGAGAUGUGGAGGAAGAUGAAUGCUGCCAUAAUUUCGGGUGCAAAAGAAAUGCUGCCAUUCAUCAAUUGAGGGCAGAUGAGAUAUGAGCGAAGUAAUCAAAAGGACACGAAGAUAGGAAGGGAAUCAAUUUUUUUUUUCUUUUUUCAUUUUGAAAGGGAAUCAAUUUUUGAAGAUAAAAUAAAAAGUGGUUUAAGGUUAUCCUACCCCACCAAUGUUCUGAUCUUUUCAUCGCUUGGAGGAAAAGACUUUUGCCAGGCGAGGCCCGGGCACACCUUCCACUCAGAAUUAAGCCUGUUCUUCUCCUCUUGACUAUGGAUGGGAUCACGAUCAAAGUGUUCGGUGCUGUGGGAACGUCAGCAUCAAAGUGUGGUGUGGUCUGUGGAGCCAUUGCAGCUGUGUCAUUAUAUAUUUAUUAGUAUUAUAGGGUUUUUGAAGAGUGAACAUAUAUGGAUGGAUCAUGGAGAAAGAACAAUGGAAAGUUUAUCUGCAGUUGGGAAAGAUAACUUGGGGUCAUUCCAGGGUUGGAAUGGGUAAAGGAAAUUGUGAGACUCGUGAGAAAGAGAGAGUUGAAUUGAACGCAUAGAUAGAAAGAAAGGACGUUUUCCAGUGAAAUUGUCAUCUAUCCCUGUCUGAACCAGCAGAUGCGUAAAGAAAAAUGAUAAGGUUAUCUUUUUCUUCAGUAAACAAAACUACAUUAGCAGACAC